rnacentral:rRNA from 1 species
UGCGUAGGUGGUGAUGCAAGUCUGGUGUGAAAUCUCGGAGCUUAACUCCGAAAUUGCACCGGAUACUGCGUUGCUCGAGGACUGUAGAGGAGAUCGGAAUUCACGGUGUAGCAGUGAAAUGCGUAGAUAUCAGGAGGAACACCUGUGGUGUAGACGGCUCUCUGGACCGCAACUGACGCUGAGACACGAAAGCGUGGGUAGCAAACA